AAACCACUUAGAAGAGGUAUCUUUGUCUCUACUGAUUAUGUUAGUAAAGUAUGGAUCCCUUUUAAAUAUGAAAAUUUGCCAAUGUUCUGUUUCUGAUGCGGAAGAAUGGGCAUGGGAUAAGUAAUUGCACUAAGAUAUUACCUGCAAGGAAAAACAAAAUUAGUGAAAAUCCUCCUUAUUCGUUGGCCUUAAAAGCAGAAUCAAAAUUAAUCGGAAAAGAAAGAAUGAAAUUUAAUAGUUUGUUGAAGCAGGUGGGGGCUCAAAGUUCUUAUACUGGAGGGGAAAGUGUGUCGUCGAAUAAUAUAGAAAGUGCUGAGAGAGGGAAUAAUGAGGUGGGGGUUUCACAGGAGAUUUGGAAUUGAUGGGCGGAGGGAGAUACUAAAAGAGCAGGAUAGUUUUUUCGGGUUAGGGGAAGCUGAGAAGUUGAACGAUUGUAUUAGAAAAAAAGUGUCAAAAUCCAUAUCAUGAGAAGGUAAAUUGGACAAGAACCCAACCUGGCGCAACUAUAAUAACAGCAAAAAGAGAAAAUAAUACGAGGAAGAGGAAAUCCCUAGAUGCAGAUAUUAAAAGGUGUUAUAAAGAAAAUGUAGACAGAAGGAAUUAAAAGGCUGAAAUAAGAUAUUUCAGAAGAUUAUGACAAAGGCCCUCCAGAGGUGAAGGCAGACAAUUCUGAGCAACUUGAUGUUCAAAACUUUUUAAGAUCAGCGGCUGCCAGCAGGCAAGCCAACCGGGCGCAAUGAAAAUUAUAAGCUGGAAUGUUCGUGGAAUGGGGAGUCCACGAGCUAGAAGAAGGCUGUGUUACUUUCUAAAGCAGCACAAUCCCCAAAUGGUCUUCCUAAUGGAGACUAAAAUUGAUAAUAAAAAAAGACGGAAAAAGUUAGAUGAAGUUACGGUUUUAUGAAUGGAAAUGAUAUUGAAGCAAAGGGUUCGAUAGGAGGAUUAUGCUUAGCAUGGACAGGAGACACUAAAGUUAGUUUACAAAGUUUCUCUAGGAAAUCAUAUUGAUGUUUUGGUUAAAGAGUGAUUCGUGGGAUCUGUUGAUAAAACUGGGGAAAGAUAAGAAUUACCCAUUGUUGGUAAGUGGUGAUUUUAAUGAGAUCAUGUAUUCUUUUGAGAAAUGUGGGGGUGUCCCAAGGGAUGAAAGUAUAAUGCACGCAUUUCGAGAGGUCCUAGCAGAUUGUCAAUUAGAAGAUUUGGGAUAUUUGGGAGUGUGGUUUACAUGAGAAAGAGAAAAUCUACUGGAGACAAAUAUGAGAGAAAGACUCGAUAGGGGUGUGAUAAAUGAUAAAUGGAGGUAUCUUUUUUCGACAGGUAGCGUUAUCCAUCUACCUAACACGAUGUCCAAUCACUGUCCAAUUUUAAUUAAUACAAAUGGUGAAAGCAUUCAUAAGGGCAAUUUAAAAUUUAAAUUUGAGGCGUGGUGGCUGAUGGAAGUGCGAGAAAGUAAUCAAAGAAUCUUGAGAGUUAGGAACAAGCACAGUAGUUGAGAAACUUGGAAAAUUACAAGCAGACUUAAUGGUAUGGGCAAGAAUGAUUAAGAAAGGACGAGAAGGACUAAAGAAAAAACUAACAAAGCAACUUGAUAUGUUAAUGGAAAAAGAAAGGAAUGACAACACGAUGGCAGAAAUUAUUGACACUAAGAUCCACUUGAAUAUGGAAAUUGAUAAAUAUAAAGUUUAUUGGGAACAAAGGGCAAAGGCAAAUUGGCUUAGAGUAGAGGAUAAGAACUCAACCUUUUUUCACAGGUUUGCUACAUAUCGAAGACGUAUAAAUUCAAUAUCCAAGCUGGAGAAAGAUGGAGGAGGAGAAGCUAAUAAAGUGAGUGAGAUUAAUGAAGUAGCUACCUCCUAUUUUCAGAAGCUCUUCACGUCAAAAGGAGCUGGGGAUUGUUCCUAUCUCUUAACAGGAAUAAAGGAAAAUAUUUCGACAGAUAUCAAUAGAGAGCUAAUGACAACUUUUACAGCAGAGAAGUGUAUGCGACAUUGAAGGAAAUGAGACCUACCAAAGCACCAAGACAUGAUGGUUUUCCAGCCUUUUUCUUUCAGAAAUUCUGGCAUAUCGUAGGUAAGUAAACAACAAAUCUCUGUUUGGAAAUUUUAAAUAACGGUGCAAGUUGUGGUACUUUAAAUCACUCGGACAUUGUGCUGAUCCCAAAAACCUCAAAUCAAACAAUUGUAAACCGACUGCAAGCAGUUACUGGAAGAUGUAUUGAUGCGGCUCAAAGUGCAUUCGUUCUGGGAAGGCUAAUAACUAACAACGUGCAGCUAGCUGCUUAUGAAUUGUAUAUGGUAUUGAAGCUUGAUAUGAGCAAAGCCUAUGACAGGGUUAAGUGGGGAUACUUGACGGAAGUGAUGUUAAGAAUGGGUUUCACAUCCAAUUGGGUGAAGCUGGUUAUGAAUUGUGUUUCCAUAACGUCCUAUUCAGUUAGUAUAAAUGGAAAAGUAAAAGAAUCUUUUCACCAUCUAGAGGCCUGUGUUAGGGAGACCUUCUAAGCCCUUUUCUAUUUUUGAUGUGUAGUGAGGGAUUAUCAUCUUUGAUGAGAAAUGGCUUCAGAAGUGGGUUUGAUAAAAGGUGCAAAAGCCAGCAGAAGAGGACUAGAAAUUUCACUUACUCUUUGCAGAUGACUGUAUUUUGUUCGGGGAAGUAUCAGAUAAGGGUGCUAGGGUACUAAUAGAAAAUUUGAAGGAAUAUGAAAAUUGUUCUGGGCAAUGUGUUAAGUUCAAUAAAUCUACCAUAUUUUUUAGCACAAAUACAUCCGAAGAAAACAUGGAAAAAGUUUCGACAAUAUUGGGGGUAAAGAUCUCAACAAACUUAGAACAAUACUUAGGGCUUCCGAAUGUAGUUGGUCAACGUAAGAAAGAAUCCUUUCAGCAUUUAAAAGAGAAGAUUUCGACUAGAAUUGAUGGGUGGAGUACUAGAAUGUUAUCUCAAGGAGGUAAAUAAGUCUUUAUUAAAUCGAUGCUACAGGCCAUUCCAACCUAUGCUAUGUCAUGCUUCUUAUUACCAAAGACUCUUUGUGGAGAAUUUGAAAUCAUAUUUGCUAACUUCUGGUGGUAGAAAGCGCAUGGGAGAAGAGGUAUCCAUUGGUGUCAGUGGAAGUACUUAUGCCGACCUAAAGAAGAGGGUGGGUUGGGUUUUAGAAAUAUGGCUCAAUUCAAUAUCUCACUACUAGCUAGACAGGGGUGGCAAAUUUUGAAUAAUCCAAAAAUCUUUAGUAGCACAAGUCUUAAAAGCAGAAUAUUUUCCAAAAGUUGAUUUUUUAAAUUCAUAAUUGGGGAAUAACGUUUCAUAUACAUGGAAAAGUAUUUGGGCUACUAAGGGUAUUUUAGCGGAGGGAUUAUGUUGGAAUGUGAGUAGGGGUACGAAUAUUUCGAUAAGUCGUGAUUAUUGGAUUCCAGUUUUACCGCGUGGCAGGUUACCAGUUUUAACUACGAAUUUGACUGAUAUUAAAGUUGCGGAGUUAAUAGAUUCAAAUAGUAGAACAUGGAAAAAGGAGUUGAUAAUGUAUACCUUUUCGGAGGAUGUUACCGAGAUGAUUCUCGGUAUCCUGCUGGCAGAAAGACCACACGAAGAUUUCCAAGUCUGGAGUGCUGAAGCGUCGGGUGAGUACACAAUACGUAGCGCCUAUAAACUAUUACAAAGUACUGAAGAUGAUCCUAGAGCUUAUGCUUUACAAGCCGACUAUAAGGACUUUUACAGAAAACUAUGGCUACUAGAUCUUCCUUCAAAGAUAAAAAUUACAGCUUGGAAGAUAUCAUGGAAUUUCCUAGCUACACGUGUUAAUAUGCUACUUAGAAGGCUAACGAAUACAUCAGUAUGUCCCCGGUGUGGCUCAGGAACAGAAACUAUGGACCAUUUCUUCCGUGAAUGUCCUGUUUCAACAUCAGUGUGGAGAGAGUUAUCAUUUCAUAAGUGUUUACAAGAUAAUCAGAUGGGGUUUCUACAGUGGCUAACCUGGGUUUUUUCACAAAGCUCGGCAUCCCAGUGUCGGAUCUUUUGUUGUGCAUUAUAGGCUAUCUGGGGAGACAGGAAUAAUAGAGUGCAUAAAAAAGAGAGUAAAUCUUGAAAAGAAAUAGGGAGAUUUGUUCAUAGCAACACAUCAGAGUUAAAUGAGGUUGGUAAAAAUAGAUCACAAACUUCUAUACUUGUUAAAAAAUGGAAAAGGCCAUCUGACCGAGUUGUUAAGAUCAAUUUUGACGCAGCAUAUGAAGGUAGACAAAAUAAAGCGGUGGUGGGAAUAGUGGCCAAAGACAUAGAGGGUACAGUUCUCCUAUCUUGCUUGGAGGUCCACCAACGGGUUUCAUCAGCCUUUGCUACGGAGGCAGUCGAGUGUCGAAAUGUACUCCAAAUCGACGUUUACAUGCAGUGGGAAAAAGUUAUUAUUGAAGGAGACUCUUUGUCAAUAAUAAGGAAAUGCAAAACAAAAAGCCCAGACAAAUCAUUGGUCAGUGCGUAUAUUCAUGACAUUCAUCAGCUACUGUUAAAUUUUAAGGAUUGUAGGUUUGAGUAUAUCCCAAGAUUAGCAAAUAGUCUCGGCAUAUCUUAGCAACUAAAGCGUUGAAGAGUAAUAAAGGAGAUUACCUGGUCGGAAGUGUCCCUGAAGUUGCAGAAAAACAAGCGGAAAAUGAAAGAGUGAGAGAACCAGAUUGAAAUAAGAAAGGGGAUAAAAUGGAGUGAGGGGAGUCUGAGAAGGGUAGGUAAUAGAGUGACUAAAGCAGGCCCUUGGGUGAAUUGAAAACGUCUUGAAGAAGUAAAGAAAGAUGAAAAGACAAAACGUUUAUUUUCUUUUGAUGCUGAUUGGGCAGGUAGAACGGCAACAUUAAUUUGUUUCAGACUUUUGUUUCCUUUUUUGGUUUCCUAGGCGAUUAGGUUUCCAUUUAAUUUUGUUUUAGUUUUACCUUUUGUUGGGCCAAGUCUAAUAACUGGGCUCUUUCUCUUUUCUUUUUAGGACCAUAUGUGUAGUAAUGUAGUUUAUUUAAAUAAAGUCCAAUCUGAAAUUUUAUU
rnacentral:lncRNA from 1 species